AGGCGGCGCAGCCGCAGUUAGGCCGGCAAGUGCACGAGGCCUUGCCCGCCGCGGUGGCCCCGCCGCACGCGCACGGGUUGCAGUUGCAGUGGUCGCCGCACGUGCACAGGGUAUGCCGCACUUCCCCACCGCCGCCGGUCGAGCACCUGCACGCCGUUCCUCCACAGAAGCAGGGAAGAAGGAAACAGGAGAACGGAGUUACUACCCACUACAUGCAUGCCUAGAAGCGAGGAAGAGAUCGGAUUCAGAGAAGGAACGGCUGGGAUCACCUGCAGGCGUUGCCGCCAGGGCAAGGGACGACGCAGCCGCACGCGUUGUUGCAACCCCUGUCCGCCAUCGAUCUCUCUCUCUCUCUCUCCUCGUCGAACACCUUUAUAAGGUGUUGAAGUCAUCGAGAGGGACGAGGCGCGAGCACCGUGGCCACCACGUGACGCGCUCUCCGGCGUUACAGAGCGCGAGCAAAGGUGACGACGGCCACGCAUCGGUGCAUGCGUGCAACGUCGACGGAACACUUGACCACUCUCUACCCUACCACGGACGCUUAGCUAAGUGAAUGGAUGAUAUGGAACUGAAUUGGCAAUGCUUCAUGAAUGAGAGCGAGAGGUUUGUAUUCGUGCCGUCUAAUGAUUUGGAGCUGCUAAGAUCUCUGAAAGGCAUCGCAGCUACAAAUUGAAAGAGGGUUUAUCACCUUUUUGGGCAUCUUUCCAAGUAGCUCCAUCAUUAAAGCCACAUGAUCAUGCAAUGGUAUCUACUGGUAAUUGAGUCGAUUAUAACGUCUACUGUCGAUCAAUCGGAAGGAUUUGAUUCCUCUUCUCUUCCUCAUCCGACUCCGACUCCGCCUUCCUCCAGCCCGGGUGUUGGCGGCGAUGGCAGCUCCGCGGCCCCGAGGGAGUCGGUCACAUUCGCAAGGCGAAGCAGCUGAUCCGAUUGGUGAACGUGGGAGGCGCUCGAACAGAGGCCGCUACCUUUGUCCGCAUCUUAGAUGACGCCAAUGUCGUCCUCUUGUUCGGAGACAAGUGGGAAAGAUGAUGGAGGAAGCUUCGUACAUGAAGAUGAUAAUGAACAAGUAGAUAGAGGUCCUGAGGAGGCAAAUCUCCGCCUACGCCACCAUCUCAGAGCAACUGAUGGAGAUACACAGGGCCAUCAAAACACUGCAAGACUCGUUCCCAAGUAUUCUCUCCUAAAAAUUUGAUUUUUGGUUUAAGAUAGAGUUGAAUUGGCAUUUUUUGUGAUAAUUCUCUGUUUUAGCAUAGAAGGGUAGGUCCUGAGUAAUGGAAAACUUGAUUUGUUGCUUGAAUAUUCAUUUCAUCGAAUCAAGCUAAUUCUAUUGGGUAUCAUUUAUCUUGAAAUUUAUAUGAAGGCUUU